rnacentral:rRNA from 1 species
CUGCCCACUGACAACUGUUUAACGGCCGCGGUAUCCUAACCGUGCAAAGGUAGCAUAAUCACUUGCCUAUUAAUUGUAGGCUAGAAUGAAUGGAUAAACGAAAUAAAGACUGUCUCAGUCAGCAAUCUAAAAAUUAGCAUCUGUAUGAAGAGAUACAGAUAAAAUCGAAGGACAAGAAGACCCUAUAGAGCUUUAUUCUAAACACAGAUAGCCACUGUGUAAAAAUUCGGUUGGGGCGACCAAGGACAACAAUAAACACCCUGUAAACAAAAGAUUUAUUAAUCAAUUAAAUGACCCUUACUAAGAUCAAAAAAUCAAGCUACCUUAGGGAUAACAGGCUAAUCCUAUUUAAGAGUUCAUAUCUACAAUAGGGCUUGGCACCUCGAUGUUGGCUUAGGGUAUCAAUAUAGCGCAAAAGCUAUAUAAAGAUGGUUUGUUCAACCAGUAAUUCCCU